CUUUUGACCUGGGGUAACAGAGCUUGAUCUUGAUUUUGUGCCUUGUGAUCUGUGGUUACCUAACGCUUGUGAUAGGCUCACUCACAAACAUACUGGAUCCUUCCAGAGCAUUGUGUCUGAAACACAAAUCUAUCAUGCCAAUCUCCAGUUUUUUCCUGCUGGGACUCUGCUUAAUAUGAUGUGGACUCUCAGAGACCUGAGCAAGUGCGCCUUGUGGUCCUUGAACCUUAAUGAAGUCAGAAUCCUCAAUUUGCAGGAUCCUUGUUACUAAGAAAAUGGAAACUGGGCCAAAAAUAUAAACGAUGCCCCUUUGCAGAAUCCUAAAGGAAACAGAGAAACUGGCAACAAUGGACAAGCCACUCUCAUGGGCUCCUUUUUCCCAGAACUCGUAAGAAAUUAAGGUUGCUGGAAUGUGAUGGCGUGUGGCUAGAGGAACUGAAAUCUGGCUGAGAGCUUCAGAGGUUUUCUGGCAACGAGAAUGCGCAGCAGAGCGUGGUUGCGGAGGGAGGUUAUGGUGGUCCGAGAGAAGAUGGAAUAGCUGCCCCAUCAUGUGGAGGCCAGACCUAGGGCUGCAGCCAGAAGACGGCAACUAAGGAAGAUGGCGGACCAUCCAGCCUUGAAAAUGGAAUAGACAGCCUUUCAGAGGCAAGGAAAACAGAAGAAUCAAAGAUGGUAGAUGGAAGUCUUUAAGACAGUGCUAUCCAAUAGAGAUAUAAAGCAAGCCACAUAUAUGAGCCCCAUCUGUGUUUAAAUUUUCUAGUAGCCGCAUUACAAAAAAGUAAAAAGAAACAGAUAAAACUAAUUUUAAUGAUGUAUUUUAUUUACCUUGAUUAUAUUAAAAAAUAUUAUAAUGUUAACGUGAUCGACAUAAAAAAUUGUUGAGAUACUUUACCUUCUCUUUUUCAUACCACAUCUUCA
rnacentral:lncRNA from 1 species